rnacentral:rRNA from 2 species
UGCAGUCGACGAACUCUGGUAUUGAUUGGUGCUUGCAUCAUGAUUUACAUUUGAGUGAGUGGCGAACUGGUGAGUAACACGUGGGAAACCUGCCCAGAAGCGGGGGAUAACACCUGGAAACAGAUGCUAAUACCGCAUAACAACUUGGACCGCAUGGUCCGAGUUUGAAAGAUGGCUUCGGCUAUCACUUUUGGAUGGUCCCGCGGCGUAUUAGCUAGAUGGUGGGGUAACGGCUCACCAUGGCAAUGAUACGUAGCCGACCUGAGAGGGUAAUCGGCCACAUUGGGACUGAGACACGGCCCAAACUCCUACGGGAGGCAGCAGUAGGGAAUCUUCCACAAUGGACGAAAGUCUGAUGGAGCAACGCCGCGUGAGUGAAGAAGGGUUUCGGCUCGUAAAACUCUGUUGUUAAAGAAGAACAUAUCUGAGAGUAACUGUUCAGGUAUUGACGGUAUUUAACCAGAAAGCCACGGCUAACUACGUGCCAGCAGCCGCGGUAAUACGUAGGUGGCAAGCGUUGUCCGGAUUUAUUGGGCGUAAAGCGAGCGCAGGCGGUUUUUUAAGUCUGAUGUGAAAGCCUUCGGCUCAACCGAAGAAGUGCAUCGGAAACUGGGAAACUUGAGUGCAGAAGAGGACAGUGGAACUCCAUGUGUAGCGGUGAAAUGCGUAGAUAUAUGGAAGAACACCAGUGGCGAAGGCGGCUGUCUGGUCUGUAACUGACGCUGAGGCUCGAAAGUAUGGGUAGCAAACAGGAUUAGAUACCCUGGUAGUCCAUACCGUAAACGAUGAAUGCUAAGUGUUGGAGGGUUUCCGCCCUUCAGUGCUGCAGCUAACGCAUUAAGCAUUCCGCCUGGGGAGUACGGCCGCAAGGCUGAAACUCAAAGGAAUUGACGGGGGCCCGCACAAGCGGUGGAGCAUGUGGUUUAAUUCGAAGCUACGCGAAGAACCUUACCAGGUCUUGACAUACUAUGCAAAUCUAAGAGAUUAGACGUUCCCUUCGGGGACAUGGAUACAGGUGGUGCAUGGUUGUCGUCAGCUCGUGUCGUGAGAUGUUGGGUUAAGUCCCGCAACGAGCGCAACCCUUAUUAUCAGUUGCCAGCAUUAAGUUGGGCACUCUGGUGAGACUGCCGGUGACAAACCGGAGGAAGGUGGGGAUGACGUCAAAUCAUCAUGCCCCUUAUGACCUGGGCUACACACGUGCUACAAUGGAUGGUACAACGAGUUGCGAACUCGCGAGAGUAAGCUAAUCUCUUAAAGCCAUUCUCAGUUCGGAUUGUAGGCUGCAACUCGCCUACAUGAAGUCGGAAUCGCUAGUAAUCGCGGAUCAGCAUGCCGCGGUGAAUACGUUCCCGGGCCUUGUACACACCGCCCGUCACACCAUGAGAGUUUGUAACACCCAAAG